GGUAACAGGAAACAGCUUGCUGUUUCGCUGACGAGUGGCGGACGGGUGAGUAAUGUCUGGGAAACUGCCUGAUGGAGGGGGAUAACUACUGGAAACGGUAGCUAAUACCGCAUAACGUCGCAAGACCAAAGAGGGGGACCUUCGGGCCUCUUGCCAUCGGAUGUGCCCAGAUGGGAUUAGCUAGUAGGUGGGGUAACGGCUCACCUAGGCGACGAUCCCUAGCUGGUCUGAGAGGAUGACCAGCCACACUGGAACUGAGACACGGUCCAGACUCCUACGGGAGGCAGCAGUGGGGAAUAUUGCACAAUGGGCGCAAGCCUGAUGCAGCCAUGCCGCGUGUAUGAAGAAGGCCUUAGGGUUGUAAAGUACUUUCAGCGGGGAGGAAGGGAGUAAAGUUAAUACCUUUGCUCAUUGACGUUACCCGCAGAAGAAGCACCGGCUAACUCCGUGCCAGCAGCCGCGGUAAUACGGAGGGUGCAAGCGUUAAUCGGAAUUACUGGGCGUAAAGCGCACGCAAGCGGUUUGUUAAGUCAGAUGUGAAAUCCCCGGGCUCAACCUGGGAACUGCAUCUGAUACUGGCAAGCUUGAGUCUCGUAGAGGGGGGUAGAAUUCCAGGUGUAGCGGUGAAAUGCGUAGAGAUCUGGAGGAAUACCGGUGGCGAAGGCGGCCCCCUGGACGAAGACUGACGCUCAG
rnacentral:rRNA from 1 species